AAACUUUCUAGGAUCACACCCUCCCAAAGGGAAUGCUAACAAGUGUCUCUUGAUCAAAGAAAUCUGUGAUCAAAUAAGUUCCAGAAAUGCGGGAUCUGACCAAGCAAGGCAGCAAACCCUGCAAUUUGCUUUUGAAUCCUACAACUGAGUACUUGGAUGGAUGAAGUGGCUGCAGGGUGCCUCUGAGGGAUACACGUGAAGGUGGAACCACUGUGGAACGGAAGCUUCAGAGAAGUCGCUGUCUCCAUGGACCCAUUGCAAACACAAUGACCUGAUGAGGAGAGAAAUUCCAUCUUGGAAAAAAAGAGACAGCUGAGUCUACAGGGUCCCUAUUUGUGAGUUUAAGACUUUAUAAUCAAUUUUGAAAGAUGGAAUCUAAUAGAAAUUUAAAUUCUGUCUCUAUUAGGGCUCAUCAAAAAGGGGCAUA